rnacentral:rRNA from 1 species
GACGAACGCUGGCGGCGUGCUUAACACAUGCAAGUCGAACGGAAAGGCCCUGCUUUUGUGGGGUGCUCGAGUAGCGAACGGGUGAGUAACACGUGAGUAACCUGCCCUUGACUUUGGGAUAACUUCAGGAAACUGGGGCUAAUACCGGAUAGGUGCUCCUGCUGCAUGGUGGGGGUUGGAAAGUUUCGGCGGUUGGGGAUGGACUCGCGGCUUAUCAGCUUGUUGGGGGGGUAGUGGCUUACCAAGGCAUUGCCGGGUAGCCGGGCUGAGAGGGUGACCGGCCACAUUGGGAUGGAGAUACGGCCCAGACCCCUACGGGAGGCAGCAGUGGGGAAUAUUGCACAAUGGGCGGAAGCCUGAUGCAGCAACGCCGCGUGCGGGAUGACGGCCUUCGGGUUGUAAUCCGCUUUCGCCUGUGACGAAGCGUGAGUGACGGUAAUGGGUAAAGAAGCACCGGCUAACUACGUG